CCGGUGACUUUGGUUUCUCUGUCAUGCAGGUCACUGGCAUCUUGCCCUGCUUGCUCAGUGGGGACUGUUUCAUCAGGUCCAAUUCUUCAUCUCCCGACCUCGGAAUCCUGUUUGAACUUGGAAUUUCCUAUAUUCGCAACUCUACCGGUGACCGAGGAGAGUUAAGCUGUGGCUGGGCGUUUCUGAAGCUGUUCGAUGCCAGCGGCG
rnacentral:lncRNA from 1 species